GGGGCUGUUAUACGGUUUUCGACGAUUGAUUUUAAUACAAGAAAAAACAAACAAUGUUUGAAUAAUCAUUUAAAAACAAAGCAAACUUGUUUUGCUUAAUUUUCUGAAAAUUUUUUCAUCCUUAAAAAGGUAAUAUUCAUUAAAUUCAAAACUUUAGGAAUUAUUUAAUUCACUAUAUGUUUAUAAUUAUAAUUGAAUUUAAUUCAUUUUGAUUAUAUACUAAAUCUAAAUUAUCUUUGAUUUUCAGUCGGAUGUAGGUUCAAAUCCUACCAGCUCCA
rnacentral:tmRNA from 1 species